rnacentral:rRNA from 1 species
GACGAACGCUGGCGGCGUGCUUAACACAUGCAAGUCGAACGGAAAGGCCCUGCUUUUGUGGGGUGCUCGAGUGGCGAACGGGUGAGUAACACGUGAGUAACCUGCCCUUGACUUUGGGAUAACUUCAGGAAACUGGGGCUAAUACCGGAUAGGAGCUCCUGCUGCAUGGUGGGGGUUGGAAAGUUUCGGCUGUUAGGGAUGGACUCGCGGCUUAUCAGCUUGUUGGUGGGGUAGUGGCUUACCAAGGCUUUGACGGGUAGCCGGCCUGAGAGGGUGACCGGCCACAUUGGGACUGAGAUACGGCCCAGACUCCUACGGGAGGCAGCAGUGGGGAAUAUUGCACAAUGGGCGGAAGCCUGAUGCAGCAACGCCGCGUGCGGGAUGACGGCCUUCGGGUUGUAAACCGCUUUCGCCUGUGACGAAGCGUGAGUGACGGUAAUGGGUAAAGAAGCACCGGCUAACUACGUG